rnacentral:rRNA from 1 species
GACGAACGCUGGCGGCGUGCUUAACACAUGCAAGUCGAACGGAAAGGCCCUGCUCUUGCUGGGUGCUCGAGUGGCGAACGGGUGAGUAACACGUGAGUAACCUGCCCUUGACUGUGGGAUAACUUCAGGAAACUGGGGCUAAUACCGGAUAGGAGCUCCUGCUGCAUGGUGGGCGUUGGAAAGUUUCGGCGGUUCGGGAUCGACUCGCGGCUUAGCAGCUUGUUGGUGGGGUAGUGGCCUACUAAGCCUUGGACGGGUAGCCUGCCUGAGCGACGGGUCGGCGGCAUGGGAAGGGAGACGGCCACAUUGGGACUGAGGGACGGCGCAGUCUCGAACGGGAGGCAACGGUGGAGAGUAUUACACAGUAGGCGGGAGCGUGGUGCGAAGGCGCCGCGUGCGGGAUGAAGGCCUUCGGGUUGUGAACCGCUUUCGCCUGUGACGAAGAGUGCGUGACGGUACUGGGUAAAGAAGCACCGGCUAACUACGUG